UACGUAGGUGGCAAGCGUUGUCCGGAUUUACUGGGCGUAAAGAGCGCGCAGGCGGUCGUUCAAGUCGCGUGUGAAAGCCCCCGGCUCAACUGGGGAGGGUCACGCGAUACUGAUCGACUCGAAGGCAGGAGAGGGUAGUGGAAUUCCCGGUGUAGUGGUGAAAUGCGUAGAUAUCGGGAGGAACACCAGUGGCGAAGGCGACCAACUGGACGAAUACUGACGCUGAGACACGAAAGCGUGGGGAGCAAACAGG
rnacentral:rRNA from 1 species